GAUUCGUCACACUAUCAUUAACUGAAUCCAUAGGUUAAUGAGGCGAACCGGGGGAACUGAAACAUCUAAGUACCCCGAGGAAAAGAAAUCAACCGAGAUUCCCCCAGUAGCGGCGAGCGAACGGGGAGCAGCCCAGAGCCUGAAUCAGUGUGUGUGUUAGUGGAAGCGUCUGGAAAGGCGCGCGAUACAGGGUGACAGCCCCGUACACAAAAAUGCACAUGCUGUGAGCUCGAUGAGUAGGGCGGGACACGUGGUAUCCUGUCUGAAUAUGGGGGGACCAUCCUCCAAGGCUAAAUACUCCUGACUGACCGAUAGUGAACCAGUACCGUGAGGGAAAGGCGAAAAGAACCCCGGCGAGGGGAGUGAAAAAGAACCUGAAACCGUGUACGUACAAGCAGUGGGAGCCUCUUUAUGGGGUGACUGCGUACCUUUUGUAUAAUGGGUCAGCGACUUAUAUUCUGUAGCAAGGUUAACCGAAUAGGGGAGCCGAAGGGAAACCGAGUCUUAACUGGGCGUUAAGUUGCAGGGUAUAGACCCGAAACCCGGUGAUCUAGCCAUGGGCAGGUUGAAGGUUGGGUAACACUAACUGGAGGACCGAACCGACUAAUGUUGAAAAAUUAGCGGAUGACUUGUGGCUGGGGGUGAAAGGCCAAUCAAACCGGGAGAUAGCUGGUUCUCCCCGAAAGCUAUUUAGGUAGCGCCUCGUGAAUUCAUCUCCGGGGGUAGAGCACUGUUUCGGCAAGGGGGUCAUCCCGACUUACCAACCCGAUGCAAACUGCGAAUACCGGAGAAUGUUAUCACGGGAGACACACGGCGGGUGCUAACGUCCGUCGUGAAGAGGGAAACAACCCAGACCGCCAGCUAAGGUCCCAAAGUCAUGGUUAAGUGGGAAACGAUGUGGGAAGGCCCAGACAGCCAGGAUGUUGGCUUAGAAGCAGCCAUCAUUUAAAGAAAGCGUAAUAGCUCACUGGUCGAGUCGGCCUGCGCGGAAGAUGUAACGGGGCUAAACCAUG
rnacentral:rRNA from 1 species